GAGAGCCCAAGAUGCAGUUGAGCAGAAGCUGCAAGGAAGAUGAAAGCCCCCUAAAAAUCCUGUCUGAAGGCUUCUCUGCCUGCCUGUGAAAACACGUUAUCUUAAUGGGAAGUUGUUGGGCCAGAGCAGUCGAAUGGAACCUUUCUGACGAGUAGACAAUUGUUCCUACAGAUUAUGGAGGGGGUAUGCUGGAAUUUGCGCGAGAGGCAGGGUACACCCCGGACUGGUCACCAGCCAAUCACAGGGCACACAUACACACACACAAUCAUCCACACUCACCCUCACACAUAUGGACAAUUUAGAGUCU